rnacentral:pre_miRNA from 1 species
UUCCACAGCUUUCUUGAACUGCAUCUCUAAGAGGAGCAGCUCGAAGCCUCGAACUCUACCUGCAUGAGCAGGUGCAGUUCAAUAAAGCUGUGGGA